rnacentral:tRNA from 1 species
UCCCUGGUGGUCCAGUGGUUAGGACUUGGCCUUUUCACUGCAUGGCCCAGGUUCAAUCUCUGGUCUGGGAA